rnacentral:rRNA from 1 species
AAAGAUUAAGCCAUGCAUGUCUAUGCACACGCCCUUGAUUGGUGAAGCCGCGAAAAGCUCAUUACAACAGCCAUAGUUUAUUGGAUCUUUACGUUCCUACAAGGAUAUCUGCGGUAAUUCUGGAGCUAAUACUUGCGAAAAACGGCGACCUUACGGAAGUCGUGCAUUUGUUAGACUAAACCAAUCGGUCCUUCGGGACCGUCAUUUGGUGAACUCUGAAUAACUCAGCUGAUCGCACAGUCUCGUACUGGCGACAAAUCCUUCAAGUGUCUGCCUUAUCAACUGUCGAUGGUAGUUUACACGACUACCAUGGUUGUAACGGGUAACGGAGAAUAAGGGUUCGACUCCGGAGAGGGAGCCUGAGAAACGGCUACCACAUCCAAGGAAGGCAGCAGGCGCGCAAAUUACCCACUCUCAGAACGAGGAGGUAGUGACGAAAAAUAACGAGGUGGCCCUCUUUGAGGUCCAUCAUCGGAAUGGGUACAAUUUAAAUCCUUUAACGAGGAUCUAUUGGAGGGCAAGUCUGGUGCCAGCAGCCGCGGUAAUUCCAGCUCCAAUAGCGUAUACUAAAGUUGUUGCGGUUAAAAAGCUCGUAGUUGGAUCUGCGCCAGGUGGAAGCGGUCGCCCGAUGGGUUGUUACUGCUUACCUCUGGCUAACCAUUCGGUUUUCCCUUGAUGCUCUUAAGUGAGUGUCCUGGGUGACCGGAACGUUUACUUUGAAAAAAUUAGAGUGCUCAAAGCAGGCAUUUCGCCCGAAUAUUCGUGCAUGGAAUAAUAAAAGAGGUCCUUGUAGCCUUUUAUUGGUUAUCGCUACGAGGAAAUGAUCGAAGGGGACAGACGGGGGCAUUUGUAUUGCGACGUUAGAGGUGAAAUUCUUGGAUCGUCGCAAAACAAACUACUGCGAAAGCAUUUGCCAAGAAUGUUUUCAUCAAUCAAGAACGAAAGUCUGAGGUUCGACAGCGAUCAGAUACCGCUUUAGUUCAGACCGUAAACGAUGCCAUCUGGCGAUCCGCCGGCGUUAUGUUUGACCCGGCGGGCAGCCACCGGUAAACCUUUAAGUUGGGUUCCGGGGGAAGUAUGGUUGCAAAGCUGAAACUUAAAGGAAUUGACGGAAGGGCACCACCAGGAGUGGAGCCUGCGGCUUAAUUUGACU